rnacentral:rRNA from 1 species
CUNACGGUCUCGCGAAUGCAUCCAGAUGAUUAAUGAUCCUGGCUCAAUUGACCGCUGGCGUAUGCUAACACAUGCAAGUCGAACGGUAGCAGGUCCUUCGGGAUGCUGACGAGUGGCGGACGGGUGCGUAACGCGUGGGAAUCUGCCCAAUAGUGGGGGAUAACCCGGGGAAACUCGGGCUAAUACCGCAUAUUCCCUAUGGGGGAAAGCGGGGGACCUGUAAGGCCUCGCGCUAUUGGAUGAGCCCGCGUCCGAUUAGCUUGUUGGUGGGGUAAAGGCCUACCAAGGCGACGAUCGGUAGCUGGUCUGAGAGGACGACAGCACACUGGGACUGAGACACGGCCAGACUCCUACGGGAGGCAGCAGUGGGGAAUAUCUGGACAAUGGGGGAAACCCUGAUCCAGCAAUGCCGCGUGUGUGACGAAGGCCUGCGGGUNGUAACAGCACUUUCGGCGGGAACGAACCGUCGUGCGCCAAUACCGCGGCGACCUUGACGUUACCCGCAAAAGAAUGCACCGGCUAACUCCGUGCCAGCAGCCGCGAGUCAAUACGGCAGAGGUGCACGCGUUCACUCGGGAAUUACUUGGGCGUAAAGAAGCACCNUAAGCGGGCGGCAAAGUUCCGGGAAUGUUGACAAAUCACAUGGGGGCUUAAACCCUGAGAACCUG